rnacentral:rRNA from 1 species
UACAGAGGGUGCAAGCGUUAAUCGGAAUUACUGGGCGUAAAGCGUGCGUAGCCGGUUACAUAAGUCGGGUGUGAAGGCCCCGGGCUCAACCUGGGAAUUGCAUUCGAGACUGCGUAGCUAGGGUGCGGAAGAGGGAAGCGGAAUUUCCGGUGUAGCGGUGAAAUGCGUAGAUAUCGGAAGGAACACCAGUGGCGAAAGCGGCUUCCUGGUCCGACACCGACGUUCAGGCACGAAAGCGUGGGGAGCAAACAGG